UACGUAGGGUGCAAGCGUUGUCCGGAAUUAUUGGGCGUAAAGAGCUCGUAGGCGGUCUGUCGCGUCGGCUGUGAAAACCCGGGGCUCAACCCCGGGCCUGCAGUCGAUACGGGCAGACUAGAGUGCGGUAGGGGAGACUGGAAUUCCUGGUGUAGCGGUGAAAUGCGCAGAUAUCAGGAGGAACACCGGUGGCGAAGGCGGGUCUCUGGGCCGUAACUGACGCUGAGGAGCGAAAGCGUGGGAGCGAACAGG
rnacentral:rRNA from 1 species